GAUGUGGACGCAUGCGGAUCCUUUUCAGGCAACACACUAGAGGUUGUGCAAGAACUGUUGAUGGUCGGGCAACCUGUCGAGGAACCUGCGCCAUUAUCACAAGGUUAACUCUUAUCCUCAGUCUACAUGUCACCUUCUUUGAUUGCUUUUAGGCUAUGAAAUAAUGCAUUGUGGAUUCAGACCUUCUUCACUCGUUUCAAUGUUGUUGUCACGGCAACAGUUCAGGUAAAUGGGAGGCAUGUAAGCUAAAUUUCAAGUGAUGUGAAUGUAGAUUACAGAAGUAGUAGCUUUAACCGAUGACCAGGAAAUUAUUUUCAAUCUAACAAUGAACUUUUUGAAUACAUUACAGUGCAACAAGGAACAUAUAGGCCUGGCUGCUGCUCUUCACACAAAGUCAACACACAGAUGCUAAGGGGGAAGAACCCAACAGAAGACUAAAAAAGAAGGACAAAGGGCCCAGCAGAAAAAAGAACACGAAGAAACAUUCUGUAUCUCUGGAAAGUGCCAGGAGAGCAAAAAAGCAUCUUUGGUCUCCCAUGGAGGUUGCCGCAGUCAUGAGACAUUUUGGCCAACACAUCAAAAAAGGGAAACUGGCCACUAUGAUUGAAUGCCAGCAAUGCAAGAAGGCUGAAAAUCUUGCUCUGGCUGGUCGCUCUAUCCAAAACAUAAGAGAUUUUGUAAGGAAUCGGGGCGUAACUUUGAAAAGAAAAGAAAAUCCUGGAUAGAUACAACACCCUGCAGCAGAGCUGGAACAUAUCCAACAUCACAUCCUACAUCACACCCAACAUCACAUCCAACAUCCCAUCCAUGACAUCUAACACCAUACAGCUACAGUACAUCACAUCCAACAUCACAUCUAACACCAUACAGCUACAGUACUUCACAUCCAACAUCACAUCUAACACCAUACAGCUACAGUACUUCACAUCCAACAUCACAUCUAACACCAUACAGCUACAGUGCAUCACAUCCAACAUCACAUCUAACACCACAUCCAACACCAGGCCUGUUGUAACUGGAACACUGUUAGACAUGCAUUGGUCUAGUAGACAUGCAUAAUUUCAUUUUGACAUUUAUAAAUGUUUUCCUUUCUGUUCACAAAUACAUUUCUGUUGCUCUGAUAUGUGGUCAAGGCGCUGUAAAAUCCAGUCUACUUCUUUCUGUUUAGUCAUAUUCCAUUUAUCCAUGUUUGGCCUUUUUAAUACACAUAAACUUCACGUUUGUGUAUGUGUAUGGCUAUGGUCCUGAUAAAAAAAGUUGGUCCUGGCAAUUACUGUUUGUGUCAUGGGCGGAGCUAAGUACCUCAUUAUCUUGUGUCCUCUUAAUACAGCAUUCCGUCAGGUUCUUGUAUCUUGAGUUCUGAUGUGUGUAUCUAACUUUUGAAGUGAGAUUUGUGCUGUAUGGCUCAAAUAAAAUUUUUGAAGAUUCA